UGAACGCUGGCGGUAGGCCUAACACAUGCAAGUCGAACGGCAGCACAGUAAGAGCUUGCUCUUACGGGUGGCGAGUGGCGGACGGGUGAGGAAUACAUCGGAAUCUACUUUUUCGUGGGGGAUAACGUAGGGAAACUUACGCUAAUACCGCAUACGACCUACGGGUGAAAGCAGGGGAUCUUCGGACCUUGCGCGAUUGAAUGAGCCGAUGUCGGAUUAGCUAGUUGGCGGGGUAAAGGCCCACCAAGGCGACGAUCCGUAGCUGGUCUGAGAGGAUGAUCAGCCACACUGGAACUGAGACACGGUCCAGACUCCUACGGGAGGCAGCAGUGGGGAAUAUUGGACAAUGGGCGCAAGCCUGACCCAGCCAUACCGCGUGGGUGAAGAAGGCCUUCGGGUUGUAAAGCCCUUUUGUUGGGAAAGAAAAGCAGCAGGUUAAUACCCCGCUGUUCUGACGGUACCCAAAGAAUAAGCACCGGCUAACUUCGUG
rnacentral:rRNA from 1 species